AUGCAAUAGGAAGCAAAGGGGUAUGAAAAGUGAAAGUUCAAGAUUCCAUUUUUGCUUGCUGGUUUUGUGUGCAAGCCUUCUCAUCUCAUCAAGCAACCAAAAUCAUUCACAUAACCAUGUUGCCUUAUUCAUCUUUGGGGAUUCACUCUUCGAUUCUGGGAAUAAUAACUAUCUUAAAAAUGCUAUUGGCCGGGCGAAUUUCUGGCCUUAAGGGGAAACAUUCUUUAAGCAACCUGCUGGCAGGUUUUCAGAUGGUCGACUGAUUUCUGAUUUUAUUGGUAACACCGCUUUCCCCCCCUUCUUUCCACUUUAUGGGUACUGAAUGUUUGCUUAAUUGAUCGAUUCUUUCUUCUCUCUGUGUCCCUUUUUUUUUUUAGCUGAGUAUUUGAAGUUGCCAUUAAUUCCACCAUAUCUCCAGCCGGGUAUUCAUCAAUUUACAGAUGGGGUAAACUUUGCUUCAGGUGGAGCCAGUGCUUUAGUUGAAACCAGUCAAGGCAAUGAAGGAAGGGUAUGUUAUGUGAUAUUUCUCCUUAAUUAGGCGAAUCGAUUUGAAUUUCCCUAAUUUUGUUCAAUGAUAUACUAGUUUACGUAACUCUGUCAGUAAAAACUCGAGUCUUAUCGGAUGGCCUUUUAUCUUUUUGGAUAUGAUGAUUGGUGUCUUCAAUUCUCAUCUCAGUUUUGCCACUUAUCCCACAUAGGUGAUAGAACUUAAAACUCAGGUUCUUUAUUUGAAGAAUGUGAAGAAACAUAUAAAGCAGCAGAUAGGUGAUCCAGAAACUAGGACAUUAUUGUCCAGAGCCAUUUACUUAAUUAGCAUUGGAGGCAACGAUUACCUAGCACCUUCCAGUGUGUUUGAAUCCUUCCCUAUAGAAGAAUUUGCAGGGAUGGUCGUUGGAAAUAUGACUUCUGCGAUCAAAGUAAAUAACAUUCUCCACUCCUGCAGUUGUACUGAGUUACUGACUGAGCUAAUCCCAGUUGGUCUCCUCUUUUGUUCCUUACUGAACUUGAGACUUUACAGUCCGACUCUGAUACAACUGAGAUCAUAUAUCUUAUGGUUAUGAUUUUAUGUUUCAGGACAUUUACAAGAUUGGAGGAAGGAAAUUUGCAUUUGUAGGUAUGGGGGCUUUUGAUUGUGCACCAAAAAUGAGAGCACUUAAACAGCAUAGAGGACACCGUGAUAAAGAAGCCACAUCUCUUGAAAACUACACGAUAAAGUACUUCCUGAAGUACUCAAAGAGCUAAAGAGUCAUGAGCUGAAGAAGUUGAAGUAUUUAUACUUUGAUUUCUACACUACAUUAAGCCAAAGAAUUAAUAACCCUUCAAAAUAUGGUUUCAAGGAGACAAAAGUGAUAUGCUGUGGAGCUGGUCCAUUCUGAGGAACUAAAUCAAGCUGUGGAAUAUCAAAAGAUUAUGAAGUAUGUGAAGAUGUGAGUGAAUAUUUGUUCUUUGAUCCAGUUCAUCCCACAGAGAAGGCCUACAAGCAACUUGCAAAGCUAAUCUGGAGAGGAGGUCACAACGUCAGCUGGCCUUACAAUCUUAAAACACUGGCUGAGACAGAUCCCAAAACAUAGCUAUGAUCGUUGAAAUAUUGUGUAAUAAAU
rnacentral:misc_RNA from 1 species